UUGCGCAUGCGUACGAGGCUGCACUACUGAUCUAAGACCGGCAGAAAAGGACGCUGUGUUCGGAACCGGUGACUAACGUCAUAUUCAUACUAAGUGUGACGUCACAAUAAGUAUAUUACAACUGCAUGGCAUGUGAGUUUUGUGCACGGGAGAAACAUCCGGGCGUACAUUAGAUUAGCAAGAAUUUCUGCGCUUGCGCCGUGAGCAUACUGGACAUACUGUCCCAUGAUGCACUGCGGCUGUUCAAUGGCAGGCGGCUAGGCGGAAGCUCAUGGCACCAGUCAACAACAGGUCGUGUACAAAGGAUGUUCAUCAAGGAGCUGGAGGGAAGACAGGAGGCUGGAUGAGCGAAGAAGAAGACUGCAGCCCGACUGCAGAGCCUGUGUCUGAUUCACUCAGCUGACCCGUGGCUGCGGAGGAAUACAGUAGUUCAGCGGUUGAGAAAAUGUAGUACCAAAGGAAAG